UGCAGCUCACUUGGUAGAGCAUGAGACUCUCUUAAAUCUCGGGGUUGUGGGUUUGAGCCCCAUACUGGACAA